CAGUAGCCGCGGUAACACGUAGGUGGCAAGCGUUGUCCGGAAUUAUUGGGCGUAAAGGGCUCGCAGGCGGUUUCUUAAGUCUGAUGUGAAAGCCCCCGGCUCAACCGGGGAGGGUCAUUGGAAACUGGGAAACUUGAGUGCAGAAGAGGAGAGUGGAAUUCCACGUGUAGCGGUGAAAUGCGUAGAGAUGUGGAGGAACACCAGUGGCGAGGGCGACUCUCUGGUCUGUAACUGACGCUGAGGAGCGAAAGCGUGGGGAGCGAACAGGAUUAGAUACCCGCGUAGUCCCUGUCUCUUAUAC
rnacentral:rRNA from 1 species